GGAAAGUUCCAGCAUAUAAAACGGGGGCAGCAGCGCUGUGAUCACUGAUUCACACCACAGACAGAGGACGGUCCGUCCGAUCACUUACCGCCCGACUUUACCAGCUUUCUUCAACCUACAGCAGAAAUACAGACGUUUUACGAACGCUCGAGAGGUCUGACAAUGAAGACUGAGGAAAAUAGCCAGACCCAGCAGGCUCGCCUCAGCGAGGGAAUGCGGCUCAUCUUUGACCAGGAGUCCCUCUCCUCUAGCUCCAGUAGCCACCGCAGCAGCAGCCAGGAUAGUUCUUAUUCUAGCAGCAGGAGCAGGAAGUCACGAAAGUCAUACGGCCGCCGCCGAGAUCGCCGCAGAUCUCGCUCCUCCUCUUCCUCCUCUUCUUCUUCUUCUUCCUCUUCAUCCUCCUCUAACAGUGACUCUUCCUCAGGUAGCCGCUCACGGUCACGUUCUCACCCAAGAUGCCACCGUGCUUCUGACCGGUCUCGCUGCCGACACCGGCGCCACUCUCCUCCUCGUCGCUACAGAGCCCGCUCUCGCUCCUACAGCCCAUCACCAGAUCGCUGGCGCCACCGUGAUCGCAGGCACAGGGCCUACUCUCGCUCCCGCAGCCGCUCUCGUUCACAUGAGCGCUACUACAGACGCUCAUACAGGUCACGGUCACGAUCCUCAAGCUGCAGUCCAUCAAAAGGCAGGUUUGUGGGGCGAUACCGGUGCAGAUUCCCCCAGUCACCCAGAAGGAGCAGCUACAGAGACUACAGAAGCAGAUCAAGGUCCCUAGAGCAUUCUGCUGUUCGGCUCAGCCAGAGAGAAAAAGUGGAACUUCUGAACAUUGCUAAAGCAAAUGCCUCCAAGAUCUUUGGAGUGCACAACCUGGAGCUGCCUGCCAGUGUGAAGAUUGUGGAGCAGCAAGACAAGACCCCAGAGAGAAAUGCUAAUGAACGGGUGAGAGCAGACCCCGAGCCACUGAAGAAACCAGCACAGGUGAUUAUUAGUCUUUCAGUGAGUGAUGAUUAGUUGAUCAAUAAUGUAGUAAGUACCCUCCUCUCUUUGGAGAGAAGCGGUGAUUUUAAUUAUCAGGACUGAUUAAGAGCUGUCAGCUACAUUACCAUAUAGUAAAGGGCCUUUUUAACUUUUGGUUACCACUUUGAGUGAAAGCAUGGAUUUGAAGUGUCAUUGUGCUCUGUGUAACCCAACCUUGGGUCAUGGUGUAAAUUAUCUCCUCAGACGUGAUUGUUUUUGGCUGAUGGAUUAAAUGGAAUGGAGAUGAAGGCAAAAAAUAUAGACCACCAGCAGCUACAUACAGUCAUAUCCGGAUUAGAUCACAUGACAGUGGUCUGCACUCCUCCACCCCUUGGAAUAGGAGAAAGAGGGAAAGUCAUUUGACUUGAGUGACAACAUUGGGUUUUCAAGAAGGCUUAAAAUCUUUAAUUGUGCAUAUGGUUAAGUAACAUCAGUGCUAAUAUAACCACUACUCUAUAUAUAUUUAAAACACAAUUUAACGUUUUGAUUUUUACAAUACAUUAACACCUAAUUUCAUUUUAAACACACUUCGGACAAGACAUGUAAUGGUAGUUAAAAGUGCACAGUGCUUUAAACACACAAAGCUGUAAUCAUAGUUAAAGCUGCAGAACUUGAACAUGCUAAUAUGCUUAUGGUUCAACUGGGUGCAUUGUUAUUUACCAGAGUCGUCCUCGAAUCUGUGUGUCUGAAGAAACUCAGGCGUACGGACUGGCUCUUAGUGGCCCUUAAAUCAGAAGAGCUGACCCUGUCCCCUCUGUCCUCGUUGUACCAAAGACAAGUCUGCGCCCAGAGCGCUGGAUGGGGGUUUGGACAAAAUCGCUGCGUCUUCAUCAUUCUACUCAGAGAAGAUUUUUUUUGGCUUUACUGUGUUUCCAUGUUUAGCUAUAUAAUAUAUUAUUGCUAUCUGUAGUGAUAAUUUGAUUAGUCUCUGACAGCAGUACACACUGUUGACAGAUUGAACAGACACUUUGCUUUCUUUUAUGCAUGUACAGAUUUAAAUAUUAAGGGUAGAUAGAAAGUAGAUUUGCUGAGAAUUUAAUAUUUUGGUGUUCACAUUUCUUCUUCUUGUCUCUACAGGAAAAAGAUGUGACGAAUAAA